UGUCUUCUUAAAGUCUAUCUGAAGACCGUUUCAAAUCUCCCUCUACUGCGUAUUAAAAAGGCUAUGUACAAAAAAUGCUGGAUUUAUUGUUCAGCAGUGUGGUGGGAACCCCCCUACCAUACCUGGAGCUGUUACAGAAGGCUGAGGCAGUGGCCAGACACCAGAGUAAUGGAGGACACUUCAAUCAGCCUCCAAGGACACGCUGGUCAGCAUUUACACUGCCUGGUGAUGGCUUUACUGCCAAAGUUAUC
rnacentral:lncRNA from 1 species